CUUUCCUGGGAAAACAGCCAGUGGACAACCAGCAAGCCAUGGUGCGCAGGGAAUCUGUGGUCAAUCUGGAGAACUUCAGGAAGCAGUAUGUCCGCAGGCGGUGGAAGCUUUCCUUCAGCAUCGUGUCCCUGUGCAACCACCUCACCCGCUCGCUGAUGAAGAAGGUGCACCUGAGGCCAGAUGAGGACCUGAGGAACUGUGAGAGUGACACUGAGGAGGACAUCGCCAGGAGGAAAGCCCUCCACCCGCGGAGAAGGAGCAGCACCUCCUAACUGGCCCGACCUGCAGUGGCCACCAGGGAGGUCUGGGCCCAGCGGGGCUCCCUUCUGUGCAGACUCUUGGACUCAGCUCAGCACCAGCACCCAGGCGUCCUGAGCACUUUGCAAGAGAGAUGGGCCCACAGAAUUCAGAAGAGCUUGCAGGCGAGCCAGGAGACCCUGGGAGCUGUGGCUGUCUCCUGUGGAGGAGGCUCCGGCAUUCCCAAAGCUCUUAAUUCUCCAUAAAAUGGGCUUUCCUCUGUCUGCCAUCCUCAGAACCUG
rnacentral:sRNA from 1 species